CGGACGGGUGAGCAACGCGUGAGCAACCUGCCUUUCAGAGAGGGAUAACGUUUGGAAACGAACGCUAAUACCGCAUGACAUUAUCUUAUCGCAUGGUAGGAUAAUCAAAGGAGCAAUCCGCUGAAAGAUGGGCUCGCGUCCGAUUAGGUAGUUGGUGGGGUAACGGCCCACCAAGCCGACGAUCGGUAGCCGGACUGAGAGGUUGGACGGCCACAUUGGGACUGAGACACGGCCCAGACUCCUACGGGAGGCAGCAG
rnacentral:rRNA from 1 species